ACUCCUACGGGAGGCUGCAGCAAGGAAUUUUCCACAAUGGGCGCAAGCCUGAUGGAGCAACGCCGCGUGGGGGAUGACACGUUUCGGCGUGUAAACCCCUUUUCGAGAGGACGAAGGCAAUGACGGUACUCUCGGAAUAAGGCCCGGCUAACUACGUGCCAGCAGCCGCGGUAAGACGUAGGGGCCAAGCGUUGUCCGGAAUUACUGGGCGUAAAGCGCGCGCAGGCGGAUUCGCGCAUCACCGGUGAAAGCCCCCCGCUCAACGGGGGAGGGUCCGGUGCGAUGGCGAGUCUGGAGGCAGGGAGAGGCGAGUGGAAUUCCGGGUGUAGUGGUGAAAUGCGUAGAUAUCCGGAGGAACACCAGUGGCGAAGGCGGCUCGCUGGACCUGACCUGACGCUGAGGCGCGAAGGCGUGGGGAGCGAACGGGAUUAGAUACCCCGGUAGUCCACGCAGUAAACGAUGGAUACUAGGUGUGGCGGGAGUUGACCCCUGCCGUGCCGGCGUUAACACAGUAAGUAUCCCGCCUGGGGAGUACGG
rnacentral:rRNA from 1 species